CUCUGUCAAGUGCCCUUAGUUCAACUGAUAGGCCAAAUGAUGACCAUUUCACCACUAAUUUAUAGGUCUAAAUGGCAUAAAUAGGUCCUUUCGAAAGUAAUAAUGAUUGCAGAAGAGAAAGCUAUGCUCCAAUGUUAUCGUCUGGAUCCAAAAUGUACCCCCAAAAGGCUCACUUGUUCUAAGUGAGUGACUUUCUUCUGUCAUGCCCAAGCCUGGAAGCAGUGGAGGCAGUUAACAACCAUGGACUGAAACCUCUGAAACAAUGAGAAAUAUGCAAUGCUGGACUCUGCUGUGGCUGACUGAGGCCCUACUGGAAGAUAAGAUCAGUGAAGGAAAAGCAGUGAAAAGUACAUAAAACUAAGGAACUAGAAGAACCGUUUAUAUAAAUAAUGAAUCUUUUUGGGGACACUUUUUUCUCUUGUACCAUUCUUUCUAGAGCCUGGAACAAUUAAAAUUAAGCUUU